rnacentral:rRNA from 1 species
AUGUUGAAGUCGCCAAGCACCAUCCAAGGACCCGGGCACAGCGCUCUCCUUGCCUCCAAAUCGGCUAAGCAUCCAUUCAGGAAUGACCGUGAAGAGUUCUACUACAGUGGCACUCUGACAGCACCCCUUGGUUCACCCAACGCGCACCUCUUCAUCAGUACUCAAUCAUCCUUGUUUUAUUGGCCAGUUGGGAGUGAAACUUGGUCUGAAAUCUAGCUUAAUGAUGCACGCAUAGAACAGAUUGUGGAAUACAAUGGCCAAUUCAUCCUGAUUGAUUAUCAUUAUAGGAUCUACAGUUUGCAGCUAGCCCCUCAGCUUGGUCUACAGGAGAUAAAGACUUUGUGGUGGGAUGGCAUGGAUGAAUGCCCAUAUUUAAGACCAUGGCUAGUUGUAUGUGGCGACGUGCUUCUCAUUGUUGAUCAUUGCAUCAACUUAUCAUUGGGAGCACCAGUGACCUAUAAACCCUACUGCCUCAAUAUCUGUACCAAGCCGGCAAAAUGGGUGGAGCUAAAGAAGCUGGAAAAUUGGGCACUCUUUGUUGGGGGUUUUGUGAUGAGCACACCGUUUUCUUGCAUGAGCCCAUAACUAUGGGGAGCGAGGAGGAACUGCUUGUACUAUGACCAUUACUCUGAACCUUGGAGCAUACAUGGGUUUGGUGAUGAGGCAGAUGCUGUGUGGGAUCCGUCGACCAAUCCUGACCUUCCGUACAGAAAAAACUGGUACCACCAGCUGCAGGCCCUCUGGGUGUAUCCAAGUGUGUUCGAUUCUGAUAGCGAGUGA